UGCGAUGAUGAUUGUAGAAAUUAAAUCUCGUUAAUCUGAUUCGUAACAUGAGGAUGAACUUUUUCAUCCAUUCUUAGACGUCUUCUGAGC
rnacentral:snoRNA from 1 species